UGCAACNGCGAAGAACCUUACCAGGGUUUGACAUGAUACGANUUUCUUUGAAANAAGAAAGUGCCGUUUGGAACGUAUACACAGGUGGUGCAUGGCUGUCGUCAGCUCGUGUCNUGAGAUGUUGGGUUAAGUCCCGCAACGAGCGCAACCCUCAUUUUUAGUNGCCUUUAUGGAACUCUAGAAAGACUGCCGGUUAUAAACCGGAGGAAGGCGGGGAUGACGUCAAGUCAGCAUGCCCCUUACACCCUGGGCUACACACGUGCUACAUUGGGCGAGACAAUGAGAUGCAAACCUGCGAAGGCUAGCUAAUCUAUAAACUCGUUCUAAGUUCGGAUUGUAGGCUGCAACUCNCCUACAUGAAGUNGGAAUCGCUAGUAAUCGCUGGUCAGCUAUACAGCGGUGAAUCCGUUCCCGGGCCUUGUACACACCGCCCGUCACACCAUGGGAGCUG
rnacentral:rRNA from 1 species